rnacentral:tRNA from 1 species
GAGGUGCUAGCUCAGCUGGUUAGAGCAUUUGCCUUUUAAGCAAAGGGUCCCGGGUUCAAAUCCCGGGCACCUCACCA